rnacentral:tRNA from 1 species
UCUAAUAUGGCAGAAUAGUGCGGUAGAUUUAAGCUCUACAUAUAAAGUUCACCUCUUUUGUUAGAG